CCCUCCGCCCGGCGGUAGCGGAACCCGCCGCGGGCGCGCGCCCGGCCCUAGGGAGUGCGUCCACGCCUGCGCAGAGGGUCGCCACGCCCACAGACACGCCCCGUCCCCCCCCGCCGGACGGCGCGGGGAUUCCCAGUCCUGGCUCCGCCCCGGCCUCGGCCCCGUCCCUGCCCCGGGGCAGCCUGUGCUGUUCAGUGUGCGCGGCGCAUACGCACCUGGGUGUCUCGAGCCUGCGGUAGUGGCUAGAUCCCAGACAUCCGAGUAGAUCUCGUGAAAAGAUCUCCCACGUGGGCUGCGGACAGCGCCCAAGGGUAGCAGAGCUAGCAGAGGCAGUGACGGACUGAGUGUGUGGCAGGUCAUUUGCAAGGAGAAAAGCCAUCUGCCUCUUAAUUUGUGGCUCAAGUUUCAGAAUUUUUUUCCUGAGGGACUUUAGAAAUUACUUCAGGCUUGCCAGCUAACGUUAAACCACCCCCUUGGAGACUGGCUAAGUGUUAUUUGUGUUUUCUGUUUAGUUCUUAUCACCAUCGAUACUUGGUUAUGACAAUGAUUGUGUACAUUGGUUGGCCCAGCAAGUAUUACUUCUCUAGCUUAACAGAUGUGGAAACUUAAGCCCAGAGACAUGAGUUGACACCCUACCCCCAAAGACAGAAUCUAAAACCCUUUCCUUCGCUCCUCAUCGCCCACAGGAUAAAAUGCAAAUUAAUCAGACUAACAGUGAGGCCCUCCGUGGUGUGACUAACCUGCAUCCCGAGGUUUUCACCCUACUUUGAUCCAGAAAGCAUCUUCCCGCCCCAUCUCUUCUCCUUUCCUUAAAUACCCCUUACAACUUCCUGUACCAUUCUUCCCUGUUCAGCUUCUACUUGGUUUCUUGGUACAUUAUGGAUCCACCCCUUUCAUGCAUAUUCCAGACCACAUUUCCACUGAAGCAUUUGAAAUGAGAGAGAUGGGAGUGGGACUCACCCGACCCAGAGUUCUGAAGGCUGGGAAGUCCAAGAUUGAGGGGCCGACAUCUGGCAAGUGCCUUCUUGCUGUGUCAUCCUGUGGGGAAAGGGCAAAGAGAAGAUGAGAGAAAGAGCAAGAAGAGUCAAACUCAUCCUUUUAUAAGCACUUCUUUGCUUUCUGGCACUGCCAGCGCUCCAAGAUCAUCUUGAAUAUUUCCUGUCCCAGUCUAGAAUCAGCCAUUUUUCCAAAGGGCUCUGGUUUCUUUUGUUGAAGAAUGGUGUUAGAGACCAAUAUCUGGUGCUAGGUGUGCUAAGGAUUCUCUUUUCAUUAAGGAUAGUGUUUCCGGGGCCAGGCACAGUGGCUCACGCCUGUAAUCCCAGCACUUUGGGAGGCGGAGGCGGGUGGAUCACCUGAGGUCAGGAGUUCAAGACCAGCCUGACCAAUAUGGAGAAACCCCAUCUCUACUAAAAAUGCAAAAAAUUGGCCGGGCAUGGUGGCAUAUGCCUGUAAUCCCAGCUACUCAGGAGGCUGAGGUAGGGGAAUUGCUUGAACCUGGGAGGUGGAGGUUGCAGUGAGCUGAGAUCAUGCCAUUGCACUCUAGCCUGGGCAGCAAGAGUGAAACCAUGUCUCAAAAAAAAAAAAAAAAAAAAAAAAAGAUAGUAUUUCCCAUCAGCCUCCCAGCAGACUACCCAUUUUGUUUUUGCAGCAAUGUCUGCUAAUUGUGCCCCCAAAUUCAUUCUCCUCUUCCCAUUGUAAUCAAAUUUUAUCUGAGCAUACCCGACUCUCAUAAUAAAGAGUUCAUUCCCUA